AUAUCCUGCCCAUUGUAGCCUAGUGGAAACUACAGUCUAUAUAAAUAUUUUCUCCAGUAAUAUGUUUGUCAUACUUUUGGUCACAGUGUUGAUGAACUGACUACAUUGCAAAUAGCAUCCAAAAGGCUAUUGGAGACAUGAUUAAAAUAAAAAGAAGAAUUCCAAGCGAAGUGAGGAGACGUAGCCUCACUUUACAUGCCCAGGACAUAUGAUUCUUUUGUGCCCAUCCUAGCUACUUCAGGCAAGUGCAAGGAACAGGAGCUUGUGACACUGGAGAGUGAGUAAUUCUUGUCACUCAACUAGAUGUACCAAUGAUAACCAGGUUACAACCAGCCAAGAGGGAGCAGGAUUUAAAGCAACAAGGGAGAAACAAAACUAUACAAUCGAAUCCAAAAUAAACCGAAACAGACAGUCCUCAACCACAUUGGUGCUGGAUAACAAACUGCCACUGGUGUGCAUUAGUGAUGCUGGGAAAUGGAGAUUCCAUUGACUGGAUAUGCCUGCUCCUGACCUCUUCUGAAAUCCAUCCAAGAUGAACAUUCUUAUAGGCAGAUGUAAAAGGCUCCAAUUUAGUAUCUAUGUUUAAGUACAUAAAGCAAGGUUUUUAGAGCCAUCUUAAGGCAGAUUCCAGAGAAUGCUCUAUCCAUAACCCUCAUAUAAACUUGGUCAAGUGAAUUACCCCUCUGAAUGUCACUUUCUUAUUUCAUGCAAUUAAAAUUAUAAUGUUAUUUUCAAAAG
rnacentral:lncRNA from 1 species